rfam:Fukomys damarensis contig112741, whole genome shotgun sequence.
GUUGUGCCCUACUCAGAUGAGUGCUGGUUACUUAGACUACAAGUAACCGAGAACUCUCUGGGUAGAGUAAAGCU